CGCCAGGGAGAGUUUCUGAUGCCACCCCAUCAGUUGGGAGGAGGAAUAGAUGGGAUGAGACACCAACACCCGGGCGGUUGGCUGAUUCCGAUGCAACCCCAGCAGGUGGAGUUACUCCAGGGGCCACCCCAGCUGGGGUUACAUGGGAUGCUACUCCGAAGGGAUUGGUUACUCCCACGCCGAAGCGGCAGAGAUCUAGGUGGGAUGAGACUCCUGCAACCAUGGGAAGUGCGACUCCAACGGCAGGGGCUACACCAGCGGUUCCUCUUACACCUGGGGUUACUCCUUUUGGCGGUACUGAUUUGCAGACACCAACCCCAAGUAAUCUUCGUGGGCCUAUGACUCCUGAGCAG
rnacentral:lncRNA from 1 species